AUCCUUGAAGAGGAUCAGAUCCUACACAUUUUAGUUGGGUUUGGUGCAGAGUAUGAUCCAGUCAUGGUGACCAUAACUUCCAGAUCUGAUGGAUGGACUAUUCAAGAUGUGAGUGCUCUCUUACACAGUUUUGAGU